rnacentral:rRNA from 1 species
AGUAACGGCGAGUGAACGGAGAUUUAGCCCAGCACCGAAGCCUAUUCGUAUUUGCGAACAGGGCAGUGUGGUGUUUAGGCGUGCUCCUGGAUGGGCCAUGCUACUCUAAGUCCAACUCCGAUUAUGGCUUUGGAUGUGUUCCAUAGCGGGUGAAAGGCCCGUGAGAGUAGCUUGUGUUGUUUUGGCCUGUCUCAGAUGCGCACGCCUUGGAGUCGGAUUGCUUGAGAAUGCAGUCCAAAGUGGGUGGUAAACUCCAUCCAAGGCUAAAUACUGGCACGAGUCCGAUAGUAAACAAGUACCGUGAGGGAAAGUUGAAAAGCACUCUGAAGAGAGAGUGAAUAGUACGUGAAACCACUCGUAUGGAAGCUGAAGGAGUCAAGCUUUUUGUCUUGAUAAUUGGUGUAACGAUUUUUUGUUGUAUUGCAAUAGCAGUUGUGCAUUCUGGAAAUGGAUGGGUCAUUCGUGGCUUCAGACUUUCUGGGUUGUUGGUUUGGCACUGUUGUAUAUUGCGUUCGUUGCAUUAUUUGUCAUUACAAUUACCAUGGUCAACGUGUCUGUAGUGCGGGUUUGUCUAACUAUGCUAUAGCGGGCUUUCAGCUCGUUGAGCAUGGGAUGGCAGGUAGUAGUCAAUUGGUGUACUCCAGUUGUGCUAUGUUAUUGUGCUGAUCUCCCCGUAUCAAUUACUAUCAGACGUGUUGUCUUUAUGAUAGCAGCGUUUGCUGCUUCAAGAGCCAUGGUAUUGAAGUAGAUGUUCCUUCAGACCCGUCUUGAAACACGGACCAAGGAGUUUAACAUGUGCGCAAGUCAAAGGGCUCUACGAAACCCAAUGGCGUAAUGAAAGUAAAAGAAUGUUUAUCACAUUCGAAGGUGUGAUGUGGUCGUGCUCUCAAUUGGGCUGAUCACCGCAACACCGGCCCGUCUCGUAACGUAGUCAUAUUGGUCACGACUAGUGUGCAUCGUUGAGGCGGAGCAAGAGCGUACAUGUUGAGACCCGAAAGAUGGUGAACUAUGCUUGCGUAGGUCGAAGCCAGAGGAAACUCUGGUGGAGGACCGUCGCGGUUUUGACGCGCAAAUCGAUCGUCAAACGUGAGCAUAGGGGCGAAAGACUAAUCGAACCAUCUAGUAGCUGGUUCCCUCCGAAGUUUCCCUCAGGAUAGCUGGCGCCCGCUUUAUGCAGUUUUAUCCGGUAAAGCGAAUGAUUAGAGGUAUUGGGGACUACACGUCCUCAACCUAUUCUCAAACUAUAAAUGGGUACGAUGCAUGGCUCGCUUAAUUGGAGUUGUGCAUUGAAUGAGGGUGCCAAGUGGGCCAUUUUUGGUAAGCAGAACUGGCGCUGUGGGAUGCUCCGAACGUCGAGAUAAGGUGCCCAAUACUGACGCUCAUGAGACACCACAAAAGGUGUUAAUGCAUAUAGACAGCAGGACGGUGGCCAUGAAAGUCGGAAUCCGCUAAGGAGUG